UCUCAGGUCUCUAUCACUCUUCUCGACAUUAUGGUCUAUAUUAUGGAAAAAAAACUAAGCGUCCGUGAUCAAGCCAAGCUCAGUUAGGGCUUGAGAAUCUAUUUAUAAAGGUAAAUGCCCGCUCGUGAUAUUGAAAUCGACCUUGGUUUGUGGAAGAACAUUCUGGAUGGAGACGUGUGAAUUGUUUCUCUUGACGGUAAAUUAGUCCUUAAGCGAUGUUACUCCGUUAGCAUCCAGCAUCAACGUACGCUAAAGCAAGUGAUAACAAGGGAGUUUAGUUUGGUUAAGCUAAAUUGGACAAGGAUUCUUCGUUUUCACCUCUCGUGUGGGAUUCAGUCUUCCCUUUGCAGGGAAUCUAUCUUCUUUGAAAGACCAGGUGGACACAUUUAAGUAAAUUUUUCGUCUCAUGAUACUCUCGCUGUGGAGGAAUCGAUCCCUGAGAUCCACCGUGACUGAACUCUUUAACAUGGCUUCACACUUUAUUCUCCAGGUAAGGGCGAAUUCAUACUUUACAAUAGCAUGGUAGUCAGAGGUUGAAAAGAAAAAUCAAAGCUCAUCCGUGCACCGCAAAAUCUUCACAGAGCAAAAUCAUGAAACUGAAUUUUGAAGACGUUCAGCUCAUUGUCUCUCUUCGGACCAACGGGAAACGUUUUUCAGAUGGAGCCGUGUUUGAAGGCUCUCUUAAUCCUGUGAAAUGUUCCACGGACUUGUUUUCCCAGGGAAAAAUGCAGGCUGUGAACCACAGACUCGAGCUAUGUAACCACGAUCCUCUGAUAGCGUAAAUAACGUCGCGGCUUCUUUACGUAGGAACCUCGAAUGGACUUUGUACCGUUCACACGUCGAUGCAUCAAUGCAUAUGGACGUCGACGGGAAGGGAAGUGCCUAGGACAGCAGUCAAAAGAAAUUCAUAUACACGCCUGGGCAACUUGUCACUGACUAUCCAAUCGUAGCAGAGGUAUCGCAUAUCACGUGUCAAAAUAACGACCACGCUUGAAAUACGUUGAUGGUUACCGGUAGUUGAUUUUCCUUAUUGAUCUUUAAUUACAGGUACAGCCAUUGUUCAAUGACAGACACUACCGAAUCUUUAUGAGCUACUGCCUUUUUUUGUUUUUUUUUUUUUCUCAUAUUUUGAUAUUUUAGGUCACGAGACUCAACGUAAUCAAAUGUGCUAGCCAAAGCAACCAACUGAAAGCCACUUAAAAGAUGCUUCGAAUGCAUAUUUGAUCACGUUGAAGCGCCGACCGCUUUGAUAUCAGGCCCUAGAUGCUAUAUUUCUGUGCAUUUGAAAU